AUCUUGGGGACACUGUAGCUAAAUGUGAUGUUGGAGAAGGGCCUAGUUGGAUGAUGCAGGUCACUGGGGUCGUGACCUGAAAGAGUAUAUCGCCCUCUCCAGCUCCACCUUUUCUCUCUGCUUUCCAGCUGCCAUGAUGUGAGCAGCCUUCAUCCACUAUGCCCCUCUGUCAUGAUGCCUGCCUUGGAGCCAGUUGACCAUCUUUUUUUACAGGCAUGAAUCCAAGAGUUGUGGAGUCAGGGAGGCUUCAACCAAGAUUUCAGAAGAAGGCCUGAGAGUCCGGGUAAUGUGUUCCUGAGAGAGGAUUGUAUGGAGCUGUAAAAACACCCUGGGAUCUGACUGAGCAUUGUACUACUGUACACUAUCGCACUGUAUGGUAAGCAUACAGCAGCACAACUGGGACAAUGUCCAGCAGACACAUGAGCUGCUAUGAUUUGUAUAUAUCUGUGAGUGCUUGCAAUACAAAAUCUGUUCAUAUCUGUGAACGUUUUCAACUCAAAUGUUCAUAAGUUGGGGUUAUAGUACAUGUAAUCAGAGCAGAGUCCACCAGAAACACUAAUACUGAACUGAAGUUCAUGUUCA